UUGUAUUUUUGGUAGAGACGAGGUUUCAACAUGUUGCCCAGGCUUGUCUCGAACUCCUGACCUCAGGUGACCCACCCACCUCCGCCACCCAAAGUGCUGGGGUUACUGGCGUGAGCCACCUGCCUUGUGUGUCCUUUCGUGUCUGGCAUCUCUCACUGGGCGGGACGUCCUCACGGUGCACCUGUGCUGAGGCCUGGGUCUGAGCCUGGCUCCUUUCCGUGGCUGGGUCGCGUCCCGUGCAUGUUGGUCCUUCCGUCUAUGGAAGGACACUCAGGAUGCUGCUAGUUUGUGGCUGUCAUGGUCAGUUCUGCUGUGAACAUCCACGUUGUUACCCAGGCUGAAGUGCAGUGGUGCAAUCAUAGCUUGCAGCCUGUGCCUCCAUGGGUUCAGACGAUCCCCCUGCCUCAGCCUCCAAGCAGCUGGGACCACAGGUGUGCACCACCACGCCUGGAUAAUUUUUUGUAUUUUUUGUAGAGACAGUUUCACCAUGUUGCGCAGGCUGGUCUCGAAUUCCUGGGCUCAAGAGCUCCGCCAGCCUUGACCUCCCAAACUGGGUGUUUUCUUGCCAUUGUGAGCCGGCUGCUAGAUUCCAGCAUGCACGUUUUAGCUAUGUUUCUUCGCAGGGAGAGGCAC
rnacentral:lncRNA from 1 species